AAUAGAUACCCGGGUAGUCCUAGCUGUAAACGGUGCGCAUUUGCUGUAAACGGAAUCGACCCCGUUUGUGGCGAAGCUAACGCGAUAAAUGCGCCGCCUGGGAAGUACGGUCGCAAGAUUAAAACUCAAAGAAAUUGACGGGGGCCUGCACAAGCGGUGGAGUAUGUGGCUUAAUUCGAUGCAACGCGAAGAACCUUACCUGGCCUUGACAUGCAAGUAGUAGAACCAUGAAAGUGGGACGAUCCCGCAAGGGAAGCUUGCACAGGUGCUGCAUGGCUGUCGUCAGCUCGUGUCGUGAGAUGUUGGGUUAAGUCCCGCAACGAGCGCAACCCUUGUGUCCUGUUGCCACUCCUUCGAGAGAAGGAAGCACUCUGGACAGACUGCCUCGCUUAAACGAGGAGGAAGGUGGGGAUGACGUCAAGUCAGUAUGGCCCUUACGGCCAGGGCUGCACACGUACUACAAUGCAUGGCACAAAGGGAAGCUAGACCGUCAGGUGGAGCAAAUCCCAUAAAACCAUGCCC
rnacentral:rRNA from 1 species